GUAGGUCGCAAGCGUUGUCCGGAUUUACUGGGCGUAAAGAGCGCGCAGGCGGCUGGUCAAGUCCGAUGUGAAAUCUCCCGGCUCAACUGGGAAACUGCAUCGGAAACUGAUCGGCUUGAAGGUGGGAGAGGGUAGUGGAAUUCCCGGUGUAGUGGUGAAAUGCGUAGAUAUCGGGAGGAACACCAGUGGCGAAGGCGACUACCUGGCCCAUUCUUGACGCUGAGGCGCGAAAGCUAGGGGAGCGAACGGGAUUAGAUACCCCGGUAGUCCUAACCGUAAACGAUGAACACUAGGCGUAGUCGGUAUCGACCCCGGCUGCGCCGUAGCUAACGCAUUAAGUGUUCCGCCUGGGGAGUACGGCCGCAAGGCUA
rnacentral:rRNA from 1 species